rnacentral:rRNA from 1 species
AAUGAACGUUGGCGGCGUGGAUUAGGCAUGCAAGUCGUGCGCGAACUGUAGCAAUACAGGGAGAGCGGCGAAAGGGAGAGUAAUACAUAGGUACCUACCCCCGGGCCUGGGAUAGCGGCGGGAAACUGCCGGUAAUACCAGAUAACGUCCCCGGACCAAAGAUGUGCCUUCACCUGGGGAGGGGCCUAUGGCCUAUCAGCUUGUUGGCAGGGUAACGGACUACCAAGGCAAAGACGGGUAUGGGGCGUGGGAGCGUGCCCCCCCUCACUGGGACUGAGACCCUGCCCAGACACCUCCGGGUGGCUGCAGUCGAGAAUCUUCGGCAAUGGGCGCAAGCCUGACCGAGCGACGCCGCGUGCGGGAUGAAGGCCUUCGGGUUGUAAACCGCUGUCGUAGGGGAGGAAGGGCCUGUGAAGAACAGGACUUGACCGAUCCUAGGAGGAAGGGCCGGCUAAUCUCGUGCCAGCAGCCGCCGUAA